GAUGAAGAACGUAGCGAAAUGCGAUAAGUAGUGUGAAUUGCAGAAUUCAGUGAAUCAUCGAAUCUUUGAACGCACAUUGCGCCCUGUGGUAUUCCGCAGGGCAUGCCUGUUCGAGCGUCAUUUCAACCCUCAAGCUCUGCUUGGUGUUGGGCCCUGCCCGCUGCGGCCGGCCCUAAAGACAGUGGCGGUGCCGCCUGGCCCUGAGCGUAGUACAUCUCUCGCUCCAGUGCCCGGUGGUAGCCUGCCAGAACCCCAACUCUCGUGGUUGACCUCGGAUCAGGUAGGGAUACCCGCUGAACUUAAGCAUAUCAAUAAGCGGAGGA
rnacentral:misc_RNA from 1 species